UACGUAGGGGUGCAAGCGUUGUCCGGAAUUGAUUGGGCGUAAAGAGCUCGUAGGCGGUUUGUCGCGUCGAAUGUGAAAUCCCGGGGCUCAACCCCGGGUCUGCAUUCGAUACGGGCAGACUAGAGUUCGGUAGGGGAGUCUGGAAUUCCUGGUGUAGCGGUGAAAUGCGCAGAUAUCAGGAGGAACACCGGUGGCGAAGGCGGGACUCUGGGCCGAUACUGACGCUGGAGGAGCGAAAGCGUGGGGAGCAAACAGG
rnacentral:rRNA from 1 species